UGGUAAAGAUUUCAUGACAGCAGGCCGUAAAUUUAUUGGUGGGUACAGCCGGCUUCAUCCACCGUUCGCUCGAGAUUGGAGGGCACACUAAUUCAACUGCACAGCAAGAACCUUAUCUUAUCCUUUCCCCGGCUCACACCCUUCACCCAUCCUCAUCCUCAUCCGCUCACCCAUGUCACCAACCCACCAGCUAUCCCGCGUACGGCUCCUGGGGCGGAGGAUGGCGGCGGCUUCGGCGGCCUCUAGCGAGGGCACGCAUGGCGCCCCCUCCCCCCGGGCGAGCGGUGGCCUCCGCAAGGGCGCACGCAACGCCGCAACGAGGAACCGGCGUGGCGCAAGGGUGCACGCCGGCCCCCCGGCGGCAUCGGCCAGGAUCCGCACGGCCGCGGUCCCGGCGAAGGCCCGAGCAGAGGCAACCCCUGUGGAGGCCCACUCGGUGGCCUCCAGGACCCACGGCGGUGGCCUCUCCUGCUUAGAUGCGCACAGCAGCGGCUUCAGGCAAGGGACCAGCAGCCGCGAGGUGGCACCUGGCGACAUCGAGGGCUCGCAUGGACCGCGCCGCCUGUGUCGUGCUGCACCAGGGGCACGCUCCUUGGCUCUCUCUCGAGUGGUACACUAGGAAGGACAGAUUUGAAUACAUAUAUGCAUUGUCAAGCAUGGUGAGGCAUUUUAUGCUAUGAUGGCUGCAUCUCUUCUGGACUGGUCGCUGGAUGCAUGGCUGUGCUGCCAGCAGGUGCGGCCGUGCGGCGUCCGCUGGCCGGCAAGCAGAAGCAGCGCACGGCGAAUGCAGGAAGCCAGAGCAACACUGCAGAGGCUAAAAUGAGUUCGAUGGGAAAGGAAAAUUGCAAGGCUAAGGCCAAAGUGAGAGCGAUUCACUGUGACUUCGUAUGCUAAAGUGAACUGAACUUGAAAAUUCUCAACUGAACGUGAGUGUUUCCACGCUGACACAUCAAAGCUUGUUAUCCCUAGGAGGGGCAGGAUCUUAGGCUGCCUACAUCUACUGUUAUUGUACCAGCACCAGCCAACACACCAGGAAUGUUAUUAGGCGCACCGCUGUUAUCAUCAUGCAAAACCAGUUUUUUCUUUUUAUCAUAUUUGUAUCAAGGGGCAGUACAGUAUACCAUUACUAGUAACUAGUAGAGGUCAGUGCUAGCAUUUUUUUUUGUUACCAGCGGGAAAGGUGCCAAAACACCUGCAUUUUCAUGCACAACUGGAGCAUGACAAGGCAGCGCAUAGUGUGCGGGUUCAAAUACAAUAUGCGUGUCAUUUGUAGUAACAAUAGGCACAAUAUUAACUCCACAAUCAGGGGCAUAACAGAGUACUUUGUCCAAGCAAUUUAAUACAGUUUACCUGUAAUGAAAUUAACAUGCUCCUUUUUUUCAAAUUACAUUAUGCAGCUUAUACCGUAAAGGGGAAGCAACUACGAAGGAGCAGCAGAUUAGCAUCAAGCAGAUUAGUUUAUGGCCAAGCAACUUUUGUACAUACAGUAAAAGUGAGAUGGUGGAUGUGCUCCAAAAGUUCGCUCAGAUCUUUUCUCGCAGGAACCUUAACCCAAGACAAUUGCUCCUAGAAAAACAUGUUGUAAAUUCUUUUUUCUAAUCUUUUUGCAUCCGUGAGGUUAGUUGUCUUGCCCCUAUUCUCACAAUAUCUUUGUUCAUCGCACCUGGCCAAGCAAUCUUGCUUCUUGUCGCAGGCAUCAUGUCAGGCGGCAGCAGGUCCGGGAAUCUGGUAUUUUUUUACAUUUUUGUUCCCCUUGUCAAGAGGCAAUGGUGGAGGCUUCCGGGCAAAUUAGCAAGGGGAACGGGGGACGUAGGGAAGGUGGGCUUGGGGAGGCUAGACUCGCCUUUUUGAGCCACAGGAGGCGCGGCCGUAUGGAAAGCUAUUUUUUUUGAUACAGACAUACCUGUAUUUGUAUUAAGAGAUAAAGAGAACAUACACAGACACGACCAGGUACAGGUAGCUGCUAGAAGGAUUCCGAGGACACAGCUGUCCCAGCCACACUUCACAGAAGACCCCAACAAAACAAAAAAUUACAAAGAGGCCCCAGGGGACUACUGAGCUUGCUGCCACCGACGAGCACCACCAAGCAGCAUCACCGAGGCGGACGCCAACGGCGGAGCAGACCGAAGAACCGCAUACCAGGAUCUGGAGGAGAACCAUCUCGCCUUGGCUUCGACACGAGCCGCAAAGGAGACCCGUCCCAGAGAACGGAAAGGCAUCGCCUGUAUACCAUCGGCCGGGGACACACCCCGCUCUCCCCAGAUCCGGGACCAAGGUUCGCCAUCGGAGACCGACGAAGAAGAAACCAAGGUCCCCAGACCGGCUCACCACAGAACCCGCAGCUGGCCCUUCACCUUCAGAAAAGAGAGUCGCCUCCGCCGCUGCAACCGGAGGAAGUAGCACCGGCAAGCAACGGGAAGCCCCUGUACACUCCCUCCCAAGACCCAAAGCACUGGAUCUAGAGAAGCAAACCCUCACAUACCUCACGGAAGCACCGGGGUCAGCACCACCGCAGCGGGGAAGAGGAAGGAGGGACUUAUUCCAAAACGACGACGCCGCACCCGCCUUGUCGCCGCCGCCAGGACACGAAACCCUAGAAAAACUAGGACCUAAACUACCAGCCAACGGGGAACCAACAGUCUUCCCCACCUCGCGAAGCCUGGAUGGCCAUUGGAGGCGAAGAAGACCGUCGGCGCCGCCGGCGGAGACGAAAGAGACCGACUUCUCCCUUUUUUCGCCUCUCUGCACUGUGGAGAAGAGUUCGAGAAGUUGCUGCAGAGCGUACGGAAAGCUAUUUUAGAGCCACAGGAGGCGCGGCCGUACGGAAAGCUAUUUUAUGGCCGGCCGUAGGUUAGCUGGGUCAAAAAAAAUUACACUAUGACCAAAUUGUCACCCCUAACAUCUUUGUCUCUCUCACGACAAUAAGGAUGACGGCUCCAUGUCGAUGAAAAAGGUUGGGAGUGGAGGGAGGGAGGGAGAUAGGCAAAUAUACAAUAAUUACUGAUAUUUGGAUGCAAUUAACAAGUUUAGGGUUUAGGAGACCUAGAUAUGCAAAUUAAUUGUUCAGAGACCAAGAUGACAUCGGUGUACAAGUUUGAAAACUGCCGGUGCACUUUACUCUUAAAUAUAACUUAGGUAUUGAACUUUGUGGUUAUUUCUCACAAAGUGUGUCAUUAUUUCUGGUUGCAGGAUAUGGAAUGUUGUGGGUUAUCAACCACUGAUGACCAGGACAGAUACAACCAUCUCAAGAGAGUACAGUUUCACAUCGGCCAUUGCAGAAGUGUUACGGUCAGGCACAUUCUUCAAGAGAAGGUUUGAUGACUCCAACAUGCAAAGGCUUAUCGCGAUGAUGAACGGAGAGACACAGAAUUGAUCCCCUGUGAUACCAAGUUUAUCAAUUGGGAGAAGUACCUCAUGUCCACAUCCCUAGUGUCAUGGAUUGUGAAUCAAGGGAAGCAACAAAAGGCUAGGCUUUAGAUUUGUUUGCAUACAAGCUAUUUUUUUAUAAGAGUUCGUAUGCAAGCUAGGAAGGUCAGUCGCAUAGAACCUUUGGAAAUCGGAAUGAUUAAAGACCACUGCCCUUUGCUCCUCGGCCCACACCCGCCGUGAAAAAGCGGACGCGUGUUGCUCCGCGCGCUCUAGCUAUUUUGCAAAAAUACUCUCUGCUUUUUUUAAGAAUCACAACUCAAUACAACACGUCCAAAUCGAAUAGGAACCGUGUUCUUAUAUUUUCAUCUAGAUCCUUGUAUUAAAUUUUAAUUCAACACAAAGAAGAAAAAACUCGAUGAUGCUGUUAUUUUUAAAAAAUUCUCCCGCAAGCCACUUUUGAAAAAAAAAUCCCCCUCCCGCAACCCCAAACCCUGCUUCUCUCCCUACCUCCCCGCGGGAUAUUUAACUUUUUGCCAUGAUUACCAAUGACACCUCUUCAAAUACCAGUUUUAGAAUGGGACCUUUAUUUUUGCCAUUGGUGAGAGAAGGUUGUACUAUCUUUUGCCAUUUUUGAUGACAUGGCAUGACACGUCCGCACGCCAGCGUGGAUGGACGAUGUCAAAAGACCAUCUUAACACCGGGUCGUCUUCUUCCUCUCGCUAAGCACAACCUGAUCCCUCUGCUCUUGUUCCAAGUACAGCAGUAGCAGGCUAGCAGCUUGCUUCUUCCCCACCGCUUCUUUUCUUCUCCACAUCACCAGCCAUCCUACUCUCCUCUCCACAACAAAGAAGUCAACAUGGCCUCCGGCCCUCCAGCAAUCCAGCUCCUGCGCCACCUGCCCACCACACUCAAUGGUCAAUGCGGAUAGAGCAGCAGAGGUUUAUCAGAACUGGCCCUACUGGAGCAUGCCACGGCCGGAGCAGCCGGUGCCGGGUAGUCGACGCGAUCAUAUGAUUUUUUUCAUUCAUUUUUUUUGCUUCAUUGGAGAUCUAAACUAUCACGAUGGAUGAGGACGAGCACUUUUUCCUCCCUCUCUGGCCGCAGGCUAGGACGGGCACUUUUUUUGCCGGAGCAAACGAGCGAGGCACUAAGCUCUAGUGCUCUACACACAUCUGCUACUCUCCGUCCGCCGGGGCUCGCCCAUGCCUCACUCCCAGUCCCAGGCUGCCUGGGUACGAGCUCGCUCGCGGUCGUGAUCGUGCCGAGGUUGUUGCGGUGGCAAGCGGAGCUCACCCGCGCGGCUGCCGUCACGCUCGUCUGCGCCAGCUCCACGCCGAUACGCUGCGCGCUUCAGCUUCUGUUCCACCACCAUCACCACGCCAUGACCGGCCAUAGUCAUAAGCCCGCAAUUGUUCCAAGACCAUCGUUUCCUCCUCCGCGGGGGGGCUGCGCUAGAUGAGGGACAGGCUCGCUGGCCUACUAGACCAGAAGGGUGGUAGGACCGCAGGAGCAAAUGAGCAGCCAUUGUGUUGGGAGGGCAGAGAGAAGGGAUGGCGGGGGAAGGGAGAAGGUAGGGGUUAAGAUGGUGUUUUGACAUGGUCCAUCCAUGCUGGCGCGCGGAUGUGUCGUACCAUGUUAUGUUAUUGAAAUUUCAGAAAUAUAGGUGUCAUUCUAGAACUGGCAUUCGAAGAUGUGCGAUCAGCAACUAUGGCCGCCCUCGCCUGCUCCCCGCCGCCUCCCCGCCGCUGUCUCCCCUCCCCUUAUCCCUAUCCACCUGCCUCUGUUGUCCCUCCACGUUGCCGCUCCUCCUGCUCUCCACCGUUGCCGCCCGCUCCUACGGGCGCAACUCGGAGGGAGGGGCCCACCGCUCGGCUCACCGGGGCUGCUGCUGCCGUCGCUCCUGUCGUUCACGGCGCGCAACAACUCCUUCUCCGGGCCGGUGCAUGCCGCGGCGCUGGCCGCGCUCCCCGCCCUGCGGGUGCUGGAGCUCAUAGGCAACAUGGUCUGCCCUGCGGGUGCUGGAGCUCAUAAGCAACAUGGUGUCCGGCGCGGUCUUCGGCGCAGCAGCAGCUGUGCCUGGGGUCCAACCGGCUCGACGCGGUCGAGGAGGCGCCCGUCUGCGUGCGCGGUGCGGCGGGCGGAGGGGCUGCCGCUGCCGCCCACGCCCGCUGCGGAGUCGGCCUUGCCGGAGCGGGAGGCGGCGGGCGCCGCGCCCCGAGGACCGUCGCGGCGGAGGUGAAGUGGGAGGGGCCCAGGGCGUCGGCGCUGGGUUCGCUAUGGCGCGCCGCGGUUAGGCGCAACUGGAGGCCGCAGUCAGCCAGCGCUGCACGCCCCGCCGGCUCGCUGCGGCCCCGCGCGUCUUGCCUCGCCGGCCAUGGCGACCGCAGUGCGCGUCAUCGCCGCUCCUCCCGUCCUUUUCCUCUAUCCGCGCCCCGCUGCAGUGUGGCGACGUCGGGUCCGUCCGCUGCAUGGCGUGGCGGCCGGACUCCUACUUGCCGCUGCGGUCGGGGCAGGGCAGUGACCGAGUGCCGACGGAGAUGGCGCCGCUGUUCCCCUGGUGCGACUACAAGCAGUGCUCAUCGUCGUGGACAAGCCCGAUGGCGAUAGCGCUACCAAGCAGCAGAUGAUCGAUUGCUACAUCCAAACCGUGGCCCAGGUCGUGGGGAGUGAGGAGGCGGCCAAGCAAAGGAUAUAUAUUGUCGUGCGAGCGAUGUUUCGGAUUCGGAUGAGAUUGAUGAGGAAACAUCCGACAAGCUCGAAGGUAAUUGUUUGCUCCCUUGCUCAAGGCAUGCGUUGUGAUAGCAUCUUUGUGCUAAACAGCUCGGUAGUUGCUUAGCGUGAUAACAUGGAAAAUUAAGAUUUCUGUUUGCGAAGAAGGCUAAGUUGUAAUUACAUCAGUAGUCUGUGCCACAUCGCAUUGUCGGAUCUUAGGCACUAUUCUAUUGUGUUCAUUGGUUUAUAACAGGAAAAAUGAUGUGUUGAUAUCUAGAAACAUACUAUGCGUAGGUGUGGUUCUAUAAAAGCAUUUGAGAUAUAAAUGUGUUGAAAUUUCAGUAUCCUACUUACAUGUAGUGAUAUGUUGUUCUUUGCCCAUGCUGGUAUGUUCCUUAUUUACAGUUCUUUGUGUAACAUUGUGCAACAUGUCUUGACUCUACAUACAAACUUUUUUUGAUCCUUUUUUAGUACCAUCAGACUGCUCCAGCCACACUUGCAAAGUCAACACCAACCCAAGAUGAUACUAACACAUGCUGGCAACAUGUAAAGUUUAUUCUCAGAUUCAUUCUGUUGUUCUUUGCCUGUGCUGGUAGAAGUUCCAUAAUUUCAGCAGACAAAGUUGUAAUGCUAUUGGAGGGAGUUGAUUUUAGGUAACCACGCACUUCAUAACUUAUAGGUUUUAGUGCUGUUGUCUCAUAGUAUCUGAGAAGGCUGUGACAAGUGUUUCAACUAUUCUAAAAUGAGCUACAUCUAUGUUGGUUAGCUCUCUGUAUCUCCAACUUCACAUCGGCACACAGUAACCUGUUAAAGGAGGAUUUUUAAAUAUUUUUCGAAAGAAGAAAGUUAAGAAGUAGGUUUUAGAAUUCUAAGAUGUUGUCAACUGCAUUUGUACCCUAUUAUUUUAUUCCUCAUAUUAUCAUUUUCAGCAAUUAUUACUAUUCAUUCUAAUGCUAGAAUUGGCUUGGCAAGUGAAGAUUUGAAGAACACAAUAGAGAAGACAUUGGGGGGUGCUGGAGUGGCCCUUUCAUCCCCAAGCUUCUUCUAGGGAUGACGGUUUUCCUUGCAUACAAGGCCGCAGCUUCGGUACAAGCUAAGUCUACAGAGGCAACAAGGAUCGCUGAUUGAUACUCAGGAAAGGAUAUUGACAUCGCGAGUAUAUGUAAAUUAAAUGUAUAUUCUAUGGGUGAUAAUUUGUUGGGAAAAAGUGUUUCUGCCCCUACUUCAAGGCUUAAUUGUGAUUUUACCCCUCCUUUUUAAA